rnacentral:rRNA from 1 species
CGGCGAGUGAAGCGGCAACAGCUCAAAUUUGAAAUCUGGCUCUUCAAGGGUCCGAGUUGUAAUUUGUAGAGGAUGCUUUUGGCGCGGUGCCUUCCGAGUUCCCUGGAACGGGACGCCUUAGAGGGUGAGAGCCCCGUACGGUUGGACACCAAGCCUCUGUAAAGCUCCUUCGACGAGUCGAGUAGUUUGGGAAUGCUGCUCUAAAUGGGAGGUAAAUUUCUUCUAAAGCUAAAUAUUGGCCAGAGACCGAUAGCGCACAAGUAGAGUGAUCGAAAGAUGAAAAGCACUUUGAAAAGAGGGUUAAAUAGCACGUGAAAUUGUUGAAAGGGAAGCGUUUGCGACCAGACCUUUUCCUAGCGGAUCAUCCGGUGUUCUUCGCCGGUGCACUUCGCUAGGUCGAGGCCAGCAUCGGUUUCCGUAGGGGGAUAAAAGCUCAGGGAACGUAGCUCCUUCGGGAGUGUUAUAGCCCUCCGCAUAAUACCCUUACGGGGACCGAGGACCGCGCUUUUUGCAAGGAUGCUGGCGUAAUGGUCGUCAACGACCCGUCUUGAAACACGGACCAAGGAGUCGAACAUUUGUGCGAGUGUUUGGGUGUUAAACCCUCACGCGUAAUGAAAGUGAACGGAGGUGAGAGCCCUUACGGGUGCAUCAUCGACCGAUCCUGAUGUCUUCGGAUGGAUUUGAGUAAGAGCAUA